rnacentral:rRNA from 1 species
UACGUAGGGGGCAAGCGUUGUCCGGAUUUAUUGGGCGUAAAGAGCUCGUAGGCGGUCUGUCGCGUCGGCUGUGAAAACCCGGAGCUCAACUCCGGGCCUGCAGUCGAUACGGGCAGACUGGAGUUCGGCAGGGGAGACUGGAAUUCCUGGUGUAGCGGUGAAAUGCGCAGAUAUCAGGAGGAACACCGGUGGCGAAGGCGGAUCUCUGGGCCAUUACUGACGCUGAGGAGCGAAAGCGUGGGGAGCGAACAGG